CCCCCCUCCCCCAGUGCGAACGUGGCUUUCAACUCCAAGAGGAGCCUCGGGUGCGAACGUGGAUGCGCUGAGUUGAAAGAACCUAGGCAGUUCCCCACAAACAACACCCGGAGACACACCGGCGACCGCCCGAAGCGCAGUCAAGCUCUGGGGGCUGCCCCGUCAGGAAAGCCCCGGGCAACCACCUGGGCCCCAGGGCUCCCGGGACCCGGUGCUCCCCCUGCGGUCCUCCCAACUCCGGAAGGUUUGCACAAACUCCCCGCAAGCGAUCAGAAGGCGGAGAGCGCCCUGAAAACUCCGGAGCUGCAGCGGUCCGCUCACCCCCGCCGACCUAGCAUCGGGGCGGGGGCUGCGGGCUCCAGAAGCACCGGGCUCAGCCAAGUGCACCCAGGCGGCCCCAGCCUGGCUCUCGCCCCCAGCUGAGCCGCCCCCCGCGCCGCGCUCACCGCCCGGAGAAGCUGGGCACUCUGGGGACCGUGCUGUCCCUGAGCUGCCCAGGAUCCCCUCGCUGUAGAGCACUCGAGCGCCUGGCUCCCCUGCCAGUAACCCCUCUCCCUCAGUCCGCCAAUUUAGAAGAACACAAAUGUACCAAUUUUCCUCUUCUUAAUUGCCUCUCCUGACAUUUCUGCGCGCCCGGGUUAAAAAAAAAAAAAAAA